GGGCCCUUAGCUCAGUUGGUCAGAGCGGUCGGCUCAUAACCGAUUGGUCCCGGGUUCGAGUCCCUGAGGGCCCACCA
rnacentral:tRNA from 1 species